rnacentral:rRNA from 1 species
UACGUAGGUGGCGAGCGUUGUUCGGAAUCACUGGGCGUAAAGGGCGCGUAGGCGGGGUCGGAAGUCGGGUGUGAAAGCCCCGGGCUCAACCCGGGAACGGCGCCCGAGACUCUGGCUCUUGAGUCCCGGAGAGGCGGGUGGAAUUCCUGGUGUAGCGGUGAAAUGUGUAGAGAUCAGGAGGAACACCGGUGGCGUAGGCGGCCCGCUGGACGGAGACUGACGCUGAGGCGCGAAAGCGUGGGGAGCAAACGGG